UACGUAGGCAGCGAGCGUUAUUCGGAGUUACUGGGCGUAAAGCGUGCGUAGGCGGUGUCUUAAGUUUGUUGUGAAAUCUCCCGGCUUAACCGGGAGGGUGCGGCGAAUACUGAGAUGCUGGAGUGCCGGAGAGGUAAGCGGAAUUCCUGGUGUAGCGGUGAAAUGCGUAGAUAUCAGGAGGAACACCUGCGGUGUAGACGGCUUACUGGACGGUAACUGACGCUGAGGCACGAAAGCGUGGGGAGCAAACAGG
rnacentral:rRNA from 1 species